GACGAACGCUGGCGGCGUGCUUAACACAUGCAAGUCGAGCGGUAAGGCCCUUUCGGGGUACACGAGCGGCGAACGGGUGAGUAACACGUGGGUGACCUGCCCUCAGCUCUGGGAUAAGCCUGGGAAACCGGGUCUAAUACUGGAUAUGACUCCAUGACGCAUGUUGUGGGGUGGAAAGCCUUGUGCGGCUGAGGAUGGGCCCGCGGCCUAUCAGCUUGUUGGUGGGGUGAGGCCUACCAAGGCGACGACGGGUAGCCGGCCUGAGAGGGCGACCGGCCACACUGGGACUGAGACACGGCCCAGACUCCUACGGGAGGCAGCAGUGGGGAAUCUUGCGCAAUGGGCGAAAGACCUGACGCAGCGACGCCGCGUGAGGGAUGACGGCCU
rnacentral:rRNA from 1 species